CACGUAGGGGCCAAGCGUUGUCCGGAUUUAUUGGGCGUAAAGAGCUCGUAGGCGGUCUGUCACGUCGGCUGUGAAAUCCCGAGGCUCAACCUCGGGUCUGCAGUCGAUACGGGCAAACUAGAGUAUUGCAGGGGAGACUGGAAUUCCUGGUGUAGCGGUGAAAUGCGCAGAUAUCAGGAGGAACACCGGUGGCGAAGACGGGUCUCUGGGCAAUAACUGACGCUGAGGAGCGAAAGCGUGGGGAGCGAACAGG
rnacentral:rRNA from 1 species